rnacentral:rRNA from 1 species
GAUGAACGCUGGCGGCGUGCCUAAUACAUGCAAGUCGAACGCAUAGCGAAAGGUGCUUGCACCUUUCAGGUGAGUGGCGAACGGGUGAGUAACACGUGGACAACCUGCCUCAAGGCUGGGGAUAACAUUUGGAAACAGAUGCUACUACCGAAUAAAACUUAGUGCCGCAUGACACAAAGUUAAAAGGCGCUUCGGCGUCACCUAGAGAUGGAUCCGCGGUGCAUUAGUUAGUUGGUGGGGUAAAGGCCUACCAAGACAAUGAUGCAUAGCCGAGUUGAGAGACUGAUCGGCCACAUUGGGACUGAGACACGGCCCAAACUCCUACGGGAGGCUGCAGUAGGGAAUCGUCCACAAUGGGCGAAAGCCUGAUGGAGCAACGCCGCGUGUGUGAUGAAGGCUUUCGGGUCGUAAAGCACUGUUGUAUGGGAAGAACAGCUAGAAUAGGAAAUGAUUUUAGUUUGACGGUACCAUACCAGAAAGGGACGGCUAAAUACGUG